CCCACCUAGAGACCUGCAGGGACCUCAUGGAGCUGUUGGAAGGAUUAACCUAUAGUGUAUACCAAGAUGCCAUAAUCUCUGGUCUGCUUAGCUUUGGUCAGAGGUCCACACAUGAGCAAUCAGAGGGGCCUCGGUGACAUUGUGAAUGAGGGACAGAGUCUGUGAAGAAGGAGAGAGACAAGGACAGGAAGAGAGGACCUCACCACCUUGAGCUCCACCUCUAGCAGCUGGGACCUUGACGUAGCUGAAGAUCUAGACUCUGGAUGAGUUGUGACUGACCAGGGAAGUUGGAAUCCUCAGUUUCCAGGCCCCCGUCUGAGCCUAAUUACCUGUUGGCAUGCCUCCUAGCAUUGUGCCCUUGUUACGGUAUGAAAUAAAAAAAUGGCGG
rnacentral:lncRNA from 1 species